rnacentral:rRNA from 1 species
UACGUAGGGGGCAAGCGUUGUCCGGAUUCAUUGGGCGUAAAGAGCGCGCAGGCGGUCGUUCAAGUCGCGUGUGAAAGCCCCCGGCUCAACUGGGGAGGGUCACGCGAUACUGAUCGACUCGAAGGCAGGAGAGGGUAGUGGAAUUCCCGGUGUAGUGGUGAAAUGCGUAGAUAUCGGGAGGAACACCAGUGGCGAAGGCGACUACCUGGCCUGUUCUUGACGCUGAGGAGCGAAAGCCAGGGGAGCAAACGGG